rnacentral:rRNA from 1 species
AUACAUGCAAGUAGAACGCUGAAGAGAGGAGCUUGCUCUUCUUGGAUGAGUUGCGAACGGGUGAGUAACGCGUAGGUAACCUGCCUUGUAGCGGGGGAUAACUAUUGGAGACGAUAGCUAAUACCGCAUAACAAUGGGUGACACAUGUCAUUUAUUUGAAAGGGGCAAUUGCUCCACUACAAGAUGGACCUGCGUUGUAUUAGCUAGUAGGUGAGGUAACGGCUCACCUAGGCGACGAUACAUAGCCGACCUGAGAGGGUGAUCGGCCACACUGGGACUGAGACACGGCCCAGACUCCUACGGGAGGCAGCAGUAGGGAAUCUUCGGCAAUGGGGGCAACCCUGACCGAGCAACGCCGCGUGAGUGAAGAAGGUUUUCGGAUCGUAAAGCUCUGUUGUAAGUCAAGAACGAGUGUGGGAGUGGAAAGUUCACACUGUGACGGUAGCUUACCAGAAAGGGACGGCUAACUACGUGCCAGCAGCCGCGGUAAUACGUAGGUCCCGAGCGUUGUCCGGAUUUAUUGGGCGUAAAGCGAGCGCAGGCGGUUUGAUAAGUCUGAAGUUAAAGGCUGUGGCUCAACCAUAGUUCGCUUUGGAAACUGUCAAACUUGAGUGCAGAAGGGGAGAGUGGAAUUCCAUGUGUAGCGGUGAAAUGCGUAGAUAUAUGGAGGAACACCGGUGGCGAAAGCGGCUCUCUGGUCUGUAACUGACGCUGAGGCUCGAAAGCGUGGGGAGCGAACAGGAUUAGAUACCCUGGUAGUCCACGCCGUAAACGAUGAGUGCUAGGUGUUGGAUCCUCUCCGGGAUUCAGUGCCGCAGCUAACGCAUUAAGCACUCCGCCUGGGGAGUACG